rnacentral:lncRNA from 1 species
GUCAGAUGCUGAGUUCUAAUAGAAUGUGAAUUCAGCAUGGACUGAGGCCAAGUUUUGCAAAUGAGUUUAGGAGUAGGAACAGUAUAUCCUGAAAUCUCACUUUCUCCUGCAUUUAGCAGUCUGUGUGAAACUGGGAUUCAAAGCUUCAAGCCCUUCUUGGACUUAGGGACAGAAAUGGCUCUUCUGGGUGCCAAGAAACUGCUGGCACUUUUCCUUCAAAGCAUGGUUAAAAGUAGCAGGUUCUGGUCUGUGCCGUGGCAGCCUGGUGAAGAGGGCAGAGCACAGGAGCAGUGCGCGUGGGGCACUGCAGAGCCUGCUUGGAAGGAGGAGACCCGAAUUGUGGCUGCUGCCUUCUUUGCCGAGGCACAACCCAGCUGGCCGGCGGAGGGCACACCCUCCCCCCUGCCACUGACCUGUGCCGCUGCGGAGGGAGGAGCACCAGCUUGUGCCAAUAAGCUGCAGAUGAGUGGAGAGCAGAGCAGGCGUGGCCUAACUUAUUGAAAAUCCCACUGCUGAGUACUACCAAUAGGGGCUAAAGACUGAUGUAAACAGUAAUAUGCUAUCUUUUGAAGCUGGAACAUCACAACGGAUUGUUGUACUCAGUGAGCUUGAAAAAUGACUUCAACCUCCUGCUUGCAUAGUUAGGACAUCGGAAAAUAAACUGACUUCAGGUAAGCUUGUCA